UACGUGAGGGGCGAACGUUGUUCGGUGUCACUGGGCUUAAAGGGUGCGUAGGUGGUUGCGUAAGUAACGUGUGAAAUCCCUCGGCUUACCCGGGGAAUUGCGCGUUAUACUGCGUGACUUGAGGAUUUCAGGGGAAUGGGGAACUCCAGGUGUAGCGGUGAAAUGCGCAGAUAUCGUGGGGGAAGGCCGGCGGCGAAGGCGCGAUUCUGGGAAAUUCCUGACACUGAGGCACGAAAGCAUGGGGAG
rnacentral:rRNA from 1 species